ensembl:snoRNA SNORD22 Small nucleolar RNA SNORD22
UCCCAGUGAUGAAAAACUAUCACGUCUUACCGUCUUUCUGGUGCCAGAAUCUGCAAAGGUUGAACCCACUGGUGCUAGCAGAUGGAAAAGAGGAUAAGUGGCUUCGGAAGGAGCUGUCUGAUGGGAC